CAGUUGUGAGCAGCAGCAGCAGGCAGGCGCCGCCUCGGGUCCAGCAUCCUCCUAAAAGCACUGAACGGCAGCAGGCCAUCCUGAAAGGUCUGUCCGAGCUGAGACAGGGUCUGCUGCAGAGACAGCGAGAGCUAGAAACCAGUCUGAACCCUGCAGUGCAAACACAACACAGAAACCACUUCUCACCUUUCAGACCGGUGUGAUCCAGAGCUGCUUCCGAAAACAAGACCAGCACUUUAUACUGCGAGAUGUGAACAGUGGAGAUGUUGCUGUCUGACAUAUGAAUCCGUUACACGCUCUUAUUAAGGACUAGGUUUGUAAAGGGGUGGUAAACUUCCGGCAAAUUUCCAAAAAAAUCCUGGAAAGUUUCCAAAAUUUCUGGAAUUUUUCCUACAUUUUCCACCUUUUUGCAACCCUAUUAAGGACUCAUUGUAGAUGUGUAACGCAUCAGGCACGUUUCUGGGGUUGAUUUUGAACCGCAGAUCUUGAAUGUGACUGGCUUUUAUGACGACUGUGAACUUUACAGUUUUCCCUACAUGUGAAUUAAACGUAUUUAAACUAAACUUGAAGCUGCGUCUACUAUUGACCA
rnacentral:lncRNA from 1 species